rnacentral:rRNA from 1 species
AGUGAACGCUGGCGGCGUGCCUAAUACAUGCAAGUCGAACGGACAAGUAAGAGCUUGCUCUUAUGAGUUAGUGGCGCACGGGUGAGUAAUGUAUAGCUAAUCUGCCCUACACUAGAGGACAACAGUUGGAAACGACUGCUAAUACUCUAUACUCCUCUCUAACAUAAGUUAGAUAGGGAAAGUUUUUCGGUGUAGGAUGAGGCUAUAUUGUAUCAGCUAGUUGGUGAGGUAAUGGCUCACCAAGGCUAUGACGCAUAACUGGUCUGAGAGGAUGAUCAGUCACACUGGAACUGAGACACGGUCCAGACUCCUACGGGAGGCAGCAGUAGGGAAUAUUGCUCAAUGGGGGAAACCCUGAAGCAGCAACGCCGCGUGGAGGAUGACACUUUUCGGAGCGUAAACUCCUUUUGUUAGGGAAGAACAAUGACGGUACCUAACGAAUAAGCACCGGCUAACUCCGUGCCAGCAGCCGCGGUAAUACGGAGGGUGCAAGCGUUACUCGGAAUCACUGGGCGUAAAGGACGCGUAGGCGGAUUAUCAAGUCUCUUGUGAAAUCCUAUGGCUUAACCAUGGAACUGCUUGGGAAACUGAUAAUCUAGAGUGAGGGAGAGGCAGAUGGAAUUGGUGGUGUAGGGGUAAAAUCCGUAGAGAUCACCAGGAAUACCCAUUGCGAAGGCGAUCUGCUGGAACUCAACUGACGCUAAUGCGUGAAAGCGUGGGGAGCAAACAGG